AUUUGCGGACUACCAUUAUAUUAAAUAAAGUUGAGCCUUUAUCCAAUUAGUUUCUAUUCUUAUUUGUUUCUUUUUAAUAAAAUUGAAUUUUAUGAUUAUAUAUAUAUCCAUCGGCUUGAGAUGUGGAUCCUCAACAGGUCUCUCUUAUCCUCAGCAUGUUGGUUGAUAUCCUCAACAACGCUUUCAUCUCAUGUGAACUCCCAAGUUGUAUUUUCUCCUCUCCUAGAGAGUUUGAGCUUUAAGCAAG
rnacentral:lncRNA from 1 species